rnacentral:rRNA from 1 species
GAGAGCGGCGUACGGGUGCGUAACACGUGUGCAACCUGCCUUUAUCUGGGGGAUAGCCUUUCGAAAGGAAGAUUAAUACCCCAUAAUAUGGUGUCCGGCAUCGGUCGCCAUUGAAAGCCUCGGCGGAUAGAGAUGGGCACGCGCAAGAUUAGAUAGUUGGCGGGGUAACGGCCCACCAAGUCGAUGAUCUUUAGGGGUCCUGAGAGGGAGAUCCCCCACACUGGUACUGAGACACGGACCAGACUCCUACGGGAGGCAGCAGUGAGGAAUAUUGGACAAUGGGUGGAAGCCUGAUCCAGCCAUCCCGCGUGAAGGAUGACGGUCCUAUGGAUUGUAAACUUCUUUUGUACAGGGAUAAACCUGCCCUCGUGAGGGCAGCUGAAGGUACUGUACGAAUAAGCACCGGCUAACUCCGUGCCAGCAGCCGCGGUAAUACGGAGGGUGCGAGCGUUAUCCGGAUUUAUUGGGUUUAAAGGGUCCGUAGGCGGGCCUGUAAGUCAGUGGUGAAAUCUCAUAGCUUAACUAUGAAACUGCCAUUGAUACUGCAGGCCUUGAGUAAAUUUGAAGUGGCUGGAAUAAGUAGUGUAGCGGUGAAAUGCAUAGAUAUUACUUAGAACACCGAUUGCGAAGGCAGGUCACUAAGAUUUAACUGACGCUGAUGGACGAAAGCGUGGGGAGCGAACAGGAUUAGAUACCCUGGUGGUCCACGCCGUAAACGAUGCUAACUCGUUUUUGGAUCUUCGGGUUCAGAGACCAAGCGAAAGUGAUAAGUUAGCCACCUGGGGAGUACGUCCGCAAGGAUGAAACUCAAAGGAAUUGACGGGGGCCCGCACAAGCGGUGGAUUAUGUGGUUUAAUUCGAUGAUACGCGAGGAACCUUACCAAGACUUAAAUGGGAAUUGACAGAUUUAGAAAUAGAUCCUCCUUCGGGCAAUUUUCAAGGUGCUGCAUGGUUGUCGUCAGCUCGUGCCGUGAGGUGUUAGGUUAAGUCCUGCAACGAGCGCAACCCCUGCCAACAGUUGCCAUCAUUCAGUUGGGGACUCUGUUGGGACUGCCUACGCAAGUAGAGAGGAAGGUGGGGAUGACGUCAAAUCAUCACGGCCCUUACGUCUUGGGCCACACACGUAAUACAAUGGCCGGUACAGAGGGCAGCUACCUGGUGACAGGAUGCGAAUCUCGAAAGCCGGUCUCAGUUCGGAUUGGAGUCUGCAACUCGACUCUAUGAAGCUGGAAUCGCUAGUAAUCGCGCAUCAGCCAUGGCGCGGUGAAUACGUUCCCGGGCCUUGUACACACCGCCCGUCAAGCCAUGGAAGUCUGGGGUACCUGAAGUCGGUGACCGUAAUAGGAG